UUAUGGCUCAGGAAUGAACGCUAGCUACAGGCUUAACACAUGCAAGUCGAGGGGCAGCAGGGCAAUAGCUUGCUAUGUUGCUGGCGACCGGCGCACGGGUGAGUAACGCGUAUCCAACCUACCCCGCGGUCAGGGACAGCCCGGCGAAAGUCGGAUUAAUACCUGAUGCAGUCAGAAGAGGGCAUCUGAUUUUGACGAAAGAUUGAUCGCCUCGGGAUGGGGAUGCGUAGGAUUAGGCAGGCGGCGGGGUAACGGCCCACCGCGCCGACGAUCCUUAGGGGUUCUGAGAGGAAGGUCCCCCACACUGGUACUGAGACACGGACCAGACUCCUACGGGAGGCAGCAGUGAGGAAUAUUGGUCAAUGGGCGCGAGCCUGAACCAGCCAAGUAGCGUGCCAGGACGACGGCCCUAUGGGUUGUAAACUGCUUUUAUGCGGGGAUAAAGUGUGGGACGCGUCCCACAUUGCAGGUACCGCAUGAAUAAGGACCGGCUAAUUCCGUGCCAGCCGCCGC
rnacentral:rRNA from 1 species